ACUUUUAUAGCUUAUUAAUUAGAGCAUGAUAUUGAAGAUAUCAAGGAAAUUUAGAUUUGAAAGUA
rnacentral:tRNA from 1 species